AAUAGAUACCCGGGUAGUCCAUGCCGUAAACGUUGGGCACUAGGUGUGGGGGACAUUCCACGUUUUCCGCGCCGUAGCUAACGCAUUAAGUGCCCCGCCUGGGGAGUACGGCCGCAAGGCUAAAACUCAAAGGAAUUGACGGGGGCCCGCACAAGCGGCGGAGCAUGCUGAUUAAUUCGAUGCAACGCGAAGAACCUUACCAAGGCUUGACAUGCACCGGACGGCUGCAGAGAUGUGGCUUUCUUUGGACUGGUGCACAGGUGGUGCAUGGUUGUCGUCAGCUCGUGCCGUGAGAUGUUGGGUUAAGUCCCGCAACGAGCGCAACCCUCGUUCUAUGUUGCCAGCACGUGAUGGUGGGGACUCAUAGGAGACUGCCGGGGUCAACUCGGAGGAAGGUGGGGACGACGUCAAAUCAUCAUGCCCCUUAUGUCUUGGGCUUCAAGCAUGCUACAAUGGUCGGUACAAUGGGUUGCGAAACUGUGAGGUGGAGCGAAUCCCAAAAAGCCGGCCUCAGUUCGGAUUGGGGU
rnacentral:rRNA from 1 species